GUGCAACCAAGUGCUCUGCCCAAAAUUCUGUCCUAAGGACAGUGGUAAAGGGAAUUCUUCCUAAUGGAAGAGGGAAGAGAUCGCUGCCCUGGCUGAGAUGACUGCAUACUCCAAGUGAACUGCCCACUCCAAGAGGUAGAAGCAAAGAGGAGACACAGGAGACUUCUAAGAUCUCUCUUAUUGCCCUUGAAGGCUGCAGAUCCUGCUCCUUUGCCCCUGGGACCCUGGAGAGCCCCUGUCUUGAGGACCCCCAAUUGCAGGUGCCUGUUUUGCUCUGGGAUGCUCCUGCCUGGGUUGUAGUGCUAGAGGUGGCCCACGUGAGGCAGCAGCCUCCUGGGUCCCUGGUGCCCACUGAGCUUUGCUGGAGCAGUGGGAACUGAAGGAUGAUCAUGUUGCAGACCCAACCAAUGGUUCUGGUCCGUGGCCUGUUCGGAACCGGGCAGCACAGCAGGAGACGUCGUAUUACCACAAAGGGAGCCAGCUGAAGGAAAAAGCCAAUGUCCUGCGGAGAGAAAAGCAGAGAAAUGGAGGCUGCUUGGCUCCUUGAGGACACCUUGAGCCACUCAUCGUACCACACCUGGAACCCACUACUUCUAGACUAACUAUUAUAUGAGAUAAUACAUUUCCUUACAUGUUUGAA
rnacentral:lncRNA from 10 species